GAAAAAGCGUACGAUGACACCCUAGUGGUAACGAACAUAACUAACCCUCAUAUCUUGCAUCUCCUGCUGUAAUAAAUGGUACAGGCAAGAAUAAUCAAUGGAUACUGAAACCAUUACAUAAACGUGGCAGGGCAAUAGAAUAUUCCUACAGGGGCAAAGUACACCCCACAAAUCAUUCAGUAAUUUAAAAGGAAAAAAAUGUUGGAUCCAAUUUAUACCCAGCCAGCACAUCCAUUUGACCCUGCCUGCCCCUGGGGACCCACUACCCUGAUCCUAGGUAAAGCAGCUCCAGUGAUGGCCGCAAAGUUCCAGCUUCCACCUUGUCACCUUACCUCCUAUAAUGACAGGCACCGCUGUCUUUGGCAAGGCCAUGUCAUUCCACCUGCCAGGGCAGGAGCUGCAGCAACUCCUGUGCCCAGGUCCAGCAGGAGCCCCGGGUGAACUGGCUUUCCCAGUGGCUGUGUCGAGGCAGCUAGCAACACAAUCCUGAAGUACAAGUGCUUUACCACCACGUGAGCUUUGCCUUGUAGGACUCCUCUGAGGUGCAACGGAGCUACACAGCACCUCCAAAGAUGUCUCACAUAGCCAAGCGGCCAGCUGUGCUGUUUAUCAAGCAGUGGCUAAUUCAGCAGCAGACCAUCUUGUAGUUUCCCCCUCAAUUCAUUUUUCCCCUUUCACAGCAUUGCACCCCCACCCUGCAAAGCAAUAGCAUGUAAACUUUGCCUCAGUUGAUGUUCCAGGCAAAGGUACCUUCUCAUGGACAUAUAAUAAUUACUUUCUCAACAGGUCAUCCCCCUGAGCAUCGCUGCUGGCAAAAACCCAGUGUGAGGACCUCCUCAUGGAAUACCUGUAAAGUAUUCUUUA
rnacentral:lncRNA from 10 species